UCUUCCCAUUCCACUUCCCCUUCACACCACAUGGGCGAACACUUGGCCACCACCGGGCCCUUGGCAUGAGCACACGCUCAGGAGGAUGGACCUAAAGAAAUGCUUUUGCAAGCCCUGAAAACAACAGUGAUGAAGUAGUACUGCAUGUAACAAUAUGGAUACAACUGAAAAAUACGCUGUUAAAUGAGCAAAACAGAUUGCAGACGGAUAGGUGGAAAUGGAGCUUCAGCCAAAAGAAAGAAAAGAAGGAAGGAAAGAAGGGAAAGAGGAAGCAAAGAAGGAAGGAAAAAAAGUAAGAAGAAACCACUGACACAAAGGACUGGCGGAAUUAAAGCUAUGAGGGCGGGGGUUAUUAUAAAUGCGGUGACCUGGGAGGUGGGUGUGAGGACUGAGGGGCACUCAAGAGUGAUGCCCCCCGUACAGGGGUCAACUAGUGCUCAGCUCUGCCAGUUAUGAGGAUGUGAGAUUAUGGGCCUAAGAUCCUCUGAUUUUUAGAGAAGCCAGAAAUUUAGAUUUUUAUAUGUGCAAUCUGAUUUUAAAUAUGGGGAAGUCAUUCAAAAAUUUUUUAGGUGCCAAAUACUUGUGGGGUAAACUUAGCCUUUGAGUUGUCGCUUUAUAGUCUCUGGCUUACACCAGCAGGACAGGCAGUCCACUUAGUUUCUAGGUAGUCAAGAAGCUAGAUCUAUCCACAUCAAUCCAGACCACCAGCUCUGAGGGUGGAGACGACGCUGGUGGCACCUGACAUGCCUGCCUUUCUACCUCUACUGUGGCAUCAGGUCCUCGGCUGGCACCAACAGCUGUUCUAUAAACAGCCACAUAACAUUAUCUGUCCAGGAUUCUUGUUGUACAGAUGACACUGAGAAUGCUGCUAUCACUAUGUCACAGAGGGAAAAACUGUAUUUCUCAGGGAACUUUUUUUUUUCUUCUUAAACCCACAGAAUGCCAUCAGUCUGACAACUGAUAGUAUUUCCCAACAGAUCCUGGCUGUUGGAAAGUGCAGGCCCCCAGCUGGGGCCACUGUUGCAAAUGAACAGGGCUUUAUGGACGUGAGUUUGAGCACCAUUUCUAGCUGGCCUCACCUAAUUUUCUGUUCUUUACUUUUUCCUUGCUUCUAUUUUCACAACCUGUUUUUCAUUUGUUGAACGUAUUUCUAUAUAUCACCUAUAUUUGAGGAUGACCUAACAUGGGUUUACUAGUUGCCUUCACAUAUCGUUAUUAUAUUUUGAGAAAUAUUGACCAGUAAAAACAUAUGAGUUUGCAAAAUAGUGAAUCAUGCUCUACAAGUUCUGUUGCCUCAAGUUUUUACUUACACAUAAGCUUUCUCCAUGGCAAGGUUAACCAGGAAGACAAUUUAAAGUAAGUCAUGGCUCUCAGUAGAACAGAUGUUCUCACAAAAGUUCGAAUUCUUAAAUGUUAGUCUUUAUGAAUAGGGCUUGUUGUGCCUACUCAGAAAUCACCUUCUGCAAAUCACCUAACCUUGAAAUGGAUCAUAGUAUUACUGGGGACACAAAAAAAUAUUGCAAAUUGGUAAAUGAAGUGUGACAACAUAGUACUUUUAUGUCCUCAGUAAGGACUUUAUGUACAACAAAAGCUCAAAUCAAUUUGAUAGCUUUAUUUUAAGAGUCCACCUCCAGGCCAAACUCUUUGCCCUUAGCAUCUGAAGCUGAAAUGAGGUAGUUUUUAAAGCACUGAAAAGUCAAUGUGAAUUCCCAUGAUUUUAGGACUGGUAAUACAGCUGCCUGGAAGCAGCUGGAAUCUUCAAGAUCAAUUAUGUCUAGAGCAGAAAAAAUGGAAAGAAACACAAGUGUUUCACUGGGAGAUUAUAUGCUACAAGUUAAUGUAUGUGCACAAUGUGAUACAAUUUAAUGUGUGUCUCCACUUCAGUGGAGAAAGGAGGGUUUGAAGGACUAUUAAAGUUUAACAAUUACUUUUCUAAAUUCGUGAUUACACUAGUUCAUUGAGAAAAAACAGAUGUAAAUAACUACUGAGUGUCUAGAUUUGCACCUUAGUCUAUUUGACCAAGUUCCUCUUCCUUCAUGACUUGGAUUUUCCUUUGUUUUGUCUCUUGUCAAAGCCUGGCCCAGAGCCAGGCGCUCAGAGAGAGCUGGUCCUAGCAAAUCCCGCCUGACUCUCGGGGCUCUUCUCUGAAAGCUGAAUGUUACCACUGACCAGUGGAAGCCUUUUUGUUUAUUCUACAAAAACUACAGUGAAUGAAAAGUUUCAUAGGUUGAGAAGAAAUGUACUCAAAGCGGUGUACUUAAGGAAUUAAAACUGAGGAGCCCCAACUGCACCUGGACCUGAUUUAGAUGAUGAGAUUUUGGAUAUUGAGCUCACACUGCAAUGGGAUGAGACUUUGCAAUCCUUGGAGGGUUGGUGGAAUCUACAUAUGUGGAGCUCGUGGAUAUGGAGGGCUGACUGUAACAUAGUUUUAAAGAGAACCAGUGCCUAUUUGGAAAAGUAAUAUGGGUACACAAGGAAGAAAGCGAUGCAGUGAUAUAUAUCAACAGGCUACUGAACGAUGAUAGCUAUGCCAAAGAAAAGCAUUACAUAAUGACAUCAAAAUAGGACACUCGAGGAAUGUCUUAGAGCUAAAACAGCUGUCACCUGGUAUUUUGGCAUUAUUGAGGAACAUGAAGAGAUGGUCCCUGGAAACUGGAGAGUACAGAUUAUUUGCAACAACAAUUUUCAGAGGUCAAGAACAUGUUUUCCUCAUUUUUUAAAAAAGUUAACCUCUUAUUAUCAUUUUCACUUGAGAAAACUAUGAUGCUCUAAAAUGUCUAAUACCUAAACACUGCCUAUAGGUAGGCAUCAAAGGAAGAGAGAAGCUCCCCUCAUUAUACUAGUUCCUAAAUAAACCUGUAAACUUGGAGAUAUUUCUCUAUUUUAUAGAUUAUCCAGACCUUUCACUUUUACAUAUAAAUAAUCCCACUCUUAAGGAACAUUAAGAACAGGAUAAUACGUGAAAUUCUAACUGUCAAUUUUGCUGUUAGUAAAAUGUCUGUUAGGACAAAAGUUUACAACCCUGGAAUUGAAAAAUGACUAAUUGGUUUAAUAUGUGUAAUUUUCUUAUUUUUUUACCUUCUAGCUCAGUGAGAUGCUGUUCCGAAGUUGCUUUCCUCUAGGGCUGCUACUGUCAUCUUUUGUUCACUUGGCUAAAGAGGUCAGAUGCUUCAUCCAUUCAAAGAUGCAUCAAUUCUAUGAUGUGUUGUGUAUUGACUAUGUGCCAGAGGCUGCAACUGCAAAGGUGGAAGGUGCACUCUGCACUCCAAGAACUUCCCAUUAGUGAGGGAGAGACAAGUAUGCUUGGCAAUUACAGUAACAUGGGAUUGAGGGUAAA